GAAAUACUCCCUCCGUUCCAAAUUACUCGUCGCAGAAAUAGAUGUAUCUAAAACUAAAAUACAUCUAGAUACAUCUAUACAUGCGACAAGUAAUUCAGAACGGAGGAGUAAUAA
rfam:Triticum urartu cultivar G1812 contig751105, whole genome shotgun sequence.